rnacentral:rRNA from 1 species
UACGUAGGGUGCAAGCGUUAAUCGGAAUUACUGGGCGUAAAGCGUGCGCAGGCGGUUUUGUAAGUCUGACGUGAAAUCCCCGGGCUCAACCUGGGAAUUGCGAUGGAGACUGCAAGGCUAGAAUCUGGCAGAGGGGAGUAGAAUUCCACGUGUAGCAGUGAAAUGCGUAGAGAUCGGAAAGAACACCAACGGCGAAAGCACUCUGCUGGGCCGACACUGACACUGAGAGACGAAAGCUAGGGGAGCGAAUGGG